CAAGUAUUCACGCGUCUUCACUGCCAUCCAUCAUUUGGAUGAUAUUUGAAGUGGUUAAACGAUAUGUAAAGUAUGGCUCACUUCAUCACCGCGGGCAUCAUUCACCACAGAGAGUUUGUCAAAGUUGAGUUUCUUUGUCUUGCCUUUGCCAACCGUAUCAAAGCUAAAACCCAUUGUGUCAUCUUCCGCCACAGACGACGGUUUCCUGGAGGUAAGGAACUCCUCUCC